rnacentral:rRNA from 1 species
GGCGCACGGGUGAGUAUCGCGUGGGAAUUUACCCAGCAGUUCGGAAUAACCCCGGGAAACCGGGGCUAAUACCGUAUACGCCCUUCGGGGGAAAGAUUUAUCGCUGUUGGAUGGGCCCGCGUCGGAUUAGCUUGUUGGUAGGGUAAAGGCCUACCAAGGCGACGAUCCGUAGCUGGUCUGAGAGGACGACCAGCCACACUGGGACUGAGACACGGCCCAGACUCC